rnacentral:lncRNA from 1 species
ACAAUAGAUGAACAUUGCAUUCAAUUUCUAAAUUGCUAUAGACAAUUAUUGGACUGCUCCAUUCAGCUACUUCAUUUGUUCAUUCCAGUUGCAUUCUUCACUCCUUCAACAGCUGCCUGUGCCGUAGACAUCACCUGUUCACCAGCCUACACCAAGAACAAGUAUCAUAAUUAAAUUACACAUCUGUUCGUUAUUUUCAUGAGCACAAGCUACUGUAGUGGUGAGGAUGAAUUCUCUGGGGGAAAAAACACAGAAAAUGAGAUUGAAGGAAAGUAUUUGAAUACCCCUUGCACUGAUUCCUUUGCAUAUUGAGCAGCAUUACCAGCUUUGUCCAUCAUGGUAGGACUGGUCUUCUCCUGAAACAAACAAAAUCCAUGCCUUAUCAUGUAUUGGAAGAGAAAUAUCAUUGUGUUCUUGAGCACAAGCUACUGUAGAGGUGAGGAUGAAUUCUCUAAAAAAAAAAACAUAGAAAUGAGAUUGAAGGAGAGUAUUUGAAUACCCCCUGCACUGAUUCCUUCGCAGAUUGAGCAGCAUUACCAGCUUUGUCCAUCAAGGUACUGGCCUUCUCCUGAAACGAACAAAAUCCAUGCCUUCUCAUGUAUUAGAACAGAAAAAUCAAGCAGAUUCAUGAAUUAAAAGGAAGAAAUAAAAAUAAUUCAGAGGCUGACCUGAACUUGACCCUUGGCCUCACCAGCUUGGAAGCUCAUCUUCUGGGUAUUGUCAGCCAUCUUUGGUUUCUGAUUUCUUUAAAAGAUUUGGAAGAACUCAAAUAAAUUCUCAGAUUCUUGAAAAAACAAAACUCUUGGUAGUAAAGGAAUGCCAUGGCAGCCAUAAUUUAUACUGAUUAAAACCAGUCCAUUGCUGGACACGUGCAAUGCCACGUGUCAAGCUAGAGAUUGCUUGGAAUAUCAUCCGUUAUUGAGGUUGAGAUUUUGGGGGCCUUUGACCAGGGGGGUUGUGAAUUUUAUGAAUAAUUCAUGCGCUAACUUUCUUUGUUUGUUUUUUUUUUUUUAAAUAAAAAAAUUCUUUGGAUUUUUUUUUAAGACAUUCAUGUAAGUGGUGUCCAAAUUUCAUUAGACAAGUGAGAAAAAACAUGUUUAGUUUAUGUGAAUAAUAUGAAAAAAAAAACCCUUGUAGAUUUAUUUAUCAAAAUACCGAGAUUUUAUUUGAAUGGUUCAUUUAAAAUAUGCUUUAAAGAUAAAAAUGGAUUUUUGUUUAGAAAAUAAUGCUUUUAAUUUAUAAAAUAUCUUGAUUUUAGGUUCAUCAUUGAUUUUAUGAUUGUUUAUUCAUAAAUUAUUAAAUAAAAUAUAAUUUUAAAAAAUAUAAUAUCGAGUUAAGAGUUUUUAAAUUUGAUUUACUAAAUCAGAUUUAAUAAUAAUACCAAAAAAAUUAUGGUGACUUCAAUAUAUUUUUAUUUUUUUUUAAUUUGAUAUGUAGUAUAGCAAAAAAAGUUACUUACUAGGUCCCAUUAUAUAUGUUGUCUAUUUACAGGAUUACAAAUUUUGAGUAGCUUUUUAUAUAGGGGAGGUGCUGCUAAUUGUUUUUUAAAAAAAAAACUGAAAUUGUUAUCCCCCUAAAUCUGUGUAGAUGCCUAGGAGAAAAUCAAUUGUACAUUAUAAGGACAAGAUCACUGCUACUUCUUCUAAUAACGCUAAUGACAACCACGAGUCAUUAGAUGUCCACCAAAAAGAGACACUUGAGAUGCAAGCAUCGACUCACGACUUUGCCUCGUCGAGUGCAAUGUUGCAAUGUAGAGGGGGUCCCUUCACAAUGAGAUUCCUACAUAGUGGGAUCCAUUCACCUACAAAUACGAGACUCAAUCGAAAGACGACAUUUUAAUAUAAGUUUGCUUUGCUUUCACAACGACAUGUUUAAUAAUACCAUAAAAAUAAUUUUUCAUUAAAUUUAUUCAAUUUCAAGUUUAUAAACAAUGAGAUUGCCCGAACAAGAACUUGACAUUUAAAUCGUCGAUGAAAAUUUCAUUGUUUCAAUGAAGCCAAGUUUCCAAACAUUCUAAAUGAAAACCGCAUGAUGAUGCAUGGUUUUUAAGGUUUAAGGUUAGUAUUAACUUAAUAUUUUUUUUAUUAUGUUAAUUUGUUUACUUUAUUGAAAUUAUUAAAAAAAUUCUUUUUAUAAAUGUUUAUUGCAAGGAAAAAUUUGAAUUGGAUAUAGCUAAUGAUAAUGUUGCGAGGAGGGUUUGGAAGAAUUACGUUGCAAUUACAUAACAUCGAAAUCAAGAUAAUUUUUUAUUCAAAAUAUUAAAAUUUUAUUUGUCAUUUACUUAAAGAUAAUUUGUUUGUAUUAUAUGAGUUGUGUGAUUUUUGGUACGAGGUGCAAAAGAAAUCAAAAAAAUAUGCGAAAGAAAGCGAUCUACCAUACUAGAAUGAUAUGACGGUUUGAAAGGAUUUCAAGUCGCCAUAUAUCUUUGAGACUAUAUAGGCGGAAUACAUUCAGCAUGUGAUGUCCAUGCAUAUCACGUGAUGGUCACAGUUUGGUGCCGGGAACCGAAGCUGACAAAUUAACGGUUCUGUUAUCAUGCACACCGGCGGUUCCGUUCUGUUUAUUUUUAAAUGCGAAGAGGAUAGUAAGAUUUUUUUUAAUUGCAUCCAUUUUUUAAUUUGUUGUUUUUUAUAAAUAUAUUUAACUGGCAAUAUUUUUAUCUUGCAUUCAACGGUUCUUAGACAUGAGCCAAACGCAGUGAAGUUUUAUGUGGAAACACAUGUGUGAAGUGAUGGCCGCAAAAAAAAUAAAAUGCAAUAGUUCGUAGAUAGCCAAUCUCAAUGCUUUGUGGUAUGUUGGUUUUCAAUAAUUUUGUUUUAGUUAUUAUCUACUUGAAUUUGAUGAAUUUAUUGUUUAUUUUCAGGAGACAUAUAGCAGUCGGUUAAAAAAAAAUAUAUGGACAAUUCUUCUACCCAUUCAGAUAUCGAUCCAAAUUUAUGAUUGAAGGUAAAAUUAUCUGGUACACUCGAUAAAAAUCAGUUAUACAAACUCUCUAACACUAUAAACAAAAACUUAUAAACAACCUAUAAUAUUUCAGUCAUUGAAUGCUUACAAUUAAUCCAGAGCACUUAAUCAACCAUGGGAUACAAUAACGUAGACCCAUCUCAAUUAAUAAAAAAUAUGAACGACUGCAACUCCUCUCAACUGUCGCAGUGUAUUUUAAAAAGGAGAGAGAGGCCACUUUGUUCACGAAUGUAGCCACCCUUCUCAACUCCUCUCCCUGAAACAGCCCCUCCCUUCUCGCCACCUCCCUGUUCCCGAAUCUACCAACCUUCUCCACCUCAUCUCAGAAACUGCUCCUUUUUUUUCAUCGACUCCGCCGCAACCUCUCAAGUCCUCUAUAAAAAAAACAGCUCCUCCUUUCUGGCUUCCCUCAUUCUCGGAUCUAGCCAUCCUUUCCACCCCCCUCUCGAAAAAGGCUUCUCUCUUUUCGCUGCCCCUUGUUUCUUAUGUUAAAAAAAUUUGUAACUGAUAUCAUUAUCGGAAGCAACGUUGCAUAAAAAACUAGCUAGUUAAGUAAUUUGUUAGAGAAAUGCCGCUUGUCUUCCUUGAGCAUCUUAUUGCCAGAAUCUCAAGCAUUUUUUAUGAACAUGGAUUCACCUUCUUACUUCUGCCUGUGAAUUGUAAUGCGGGAAGGAAAAACGUUAAGUCUAAUAAUCAAAUACAAUUAGCAGUGAAUUAAUAGCAAAGUACAGAUAUAUAGGGCCAUCUGGACAUGCAGGAUCCCAUGAAGAUGAAGGAAUGUUGUGCUCUCAUAAACUGAGACAAAAGAUCUUCAAACAAGUACGAAAAUGAAGUAAAAUUUCACUAAUUAAGGCAACAUCUGCCUGCAAACAUCGAUCACGAGGGAGCUACAGAGAGAGCUCUCUUCUUUAUACAAAAGGAAAUGGCAGAAACAAAACAACAGAUGAACAUUGCAUUCAAUUUCUAAAUUGCUAUAGACAAUUAUUGGACUGCUCCAUUCAGCUACUUCAUUUGUUCAUGCCAGUUGCAUUCUUCACUCCUUCAACAGCUGCCUGUGCCGUAGACAUCACCUGUUCACCAGCCUACACCAAGAACAAGUAUCAUAAUUAAAUUACACAUCUGUUCGUUUUAUUCUUGAGCACAAGCUAUAUAUUGUAGUGGUGAGGAUGAAUUCUCUGGGGAAAAAAACACAGAAAAUGAGAUUGAAGGAGAGUAUUUGAAUACCCCUUGCACUGAUUCCUUUGCAUAUUGAGCAGCAUUACCAGCUUUUUCCAUCAAGGUAGGACUGGUCUUCUCCUGAAACAAACAAAAUCCAUGCCUUAUCAUGUAUUGGAAGAGAAAUAUCAUUGUGUUCUUGAGCACAAGCUACUGUAGAGGUGAGGAUGAAUUCUCUAAGAAAAAAAACAUAGAAAAAGACAUUGAAGGAGAGUAUUUGAAUACCCCUUGCACUGAUUCCUUUGCAGAUUGAGCAGCAUUACCAGCUUUGUCCACCAAGGUACUGGCCUUCUCCUGAAACGAACAAAAUCCAUGCCUUCUCAUGUAUUAGAACAGAAAAAUCAAGCAGAUUCAUGAAUUAAAAGGAAGAAAUAAACAAAUUUCACAGGCUGACCUGAACUUGGCCCUUGGCCUCACCAGCUUGGAAGCUCAUCUUCUGGGUAUUGUCAGCCAUCUUUGGUUUCUGAUUUCUUUAAAAGAUUUGGAAGAACUCAAAUAAAUUCUCAGAUUCUUGAAAAAACAAAACUCUUGGUAGUAAAGGAAUGCGAUGGCAGCCAUAAUUUAUACUGAUUAAAACCAGUCCAUUGCUGGACACGUGCAAUGCCACGUGUCAAGCUAUAGAUUGCUUGGAAUAUCAUCCGUUAUUGAGGUUGAGAUUUUGGGGGCCUUUGACCAGGGGUGUUGUGAAUUUUUGAAUAAUUCAUGUGCUAACUUUCUUUCUUUGUUUGUUUUUUAUUUUAUUCAAAAAAAAAUUCUUUCGGUUUUUUUUCAAGACAUUCAUUUAAGAAAGGAUCAUGAUUAGUUUAUGUGACUAAUUUGAAGAAACACUCUUGAAUAUUUAAUUAACAUAAACUUUAUUGUUUUAGAUUUGCUGAUCAAAAUACUGAGAUUUUAUUUGAAUUUUUUUAUUUAAAUUUUGCUUUAAGACAAUAAUGGAUUUUUUAUAGAUAAUAGUGCUUUCAAUUUACAAAAUAUCUUGAUAUUAGGUUCAUCAUUGAUUUUAUAAUUGUUUAUUUUUCAUAUUAUUAAACAAAUAUAGUUUUUAAAAAUAUAAUGUCAAGUUAAGAUUUUUCUAGUUUAAUUUAUUGAAUCGAAUUUAAUAAUCAUAUAAAAAAUUUAUCAUGACUUGAAUAUAUUUUUAAUUUAAUUCGUCGAAAGAAGUUACUUACUAGGUCCAUUAUAUAUGUUGUCUAUUUGCAGGAUUAAAAAUUUUAGGUAGCUUCCUGUAUAGAUGAGGUGUUGCCGAAUUUUUUUAAAAAAAUUGAAAUUGUGCCCCCCUCAAAAAAAAAAAAAUGUGUAGAUGCCUUGAGGAAAAUCAAUUGUACACCAUGAGAACAAGAUCACUACUAGUUCUUCUAAUAAUGAUAGUGACAAUCAUAAGUCAUUAGGUGUCGACCAAUAAGAGACACUUGAGACGCAAGCAUCGACUCACGACCUUGCCUUAUCAAGUGCAAUGCCGCAAUGUCGAGGGGUCCCUUCACAGUGGGAUCCAUUCACACCGCAUGUAUAAGGCCCAAUGGAAAGGCAACAUUUCAAUGUAAGUUUGUUUGCUUUUACAAUGACAUGUUUAAUAAUAUCGUAAAAACCGUAUUUCAUUAAAUUUAUUCAAUUUCAUGUUUACAAACAUUGAGGCUGCCCAAACAAUAACUCAACAUUUAAAUCAUCAAUGAUAAUUUCAUUUUUUCAAUGGAACGAGGUUUCCAAACAUCCUAAAUGAAAACCGGAAGUCGAUGCUUGGUUUUCAAGGUUUAAGAUUAAUAUUAACUUAAUUUUUUUUAUUAUUUUAAUUUGUUUGCUUUAUUGAAAUUACUAAAAAAUUUCUUUUUAUAAAUUUUUAUUGCAAGGGAAAAUUUGAAUUGGAUAGAGCUAAUGAUAAUGUUGCGAGGAAGGUUUGGAAGAAUUACGCUACAACUAAGUAACAUCGAAAUCAUGAUAAUUUUUUAAUUCAAAAUAUUAAAAUUUUAUUUGUCAUUUACUUAUAGAUAAUUUGUUUGUAUCAUACAGGUCGCAUGAUUUUUAUACAAGGUACAAAAGAAAUCCAAAGAAUAUACGAAAGAAAGUGAUCUACCAAGUUGAAAUGACAUGGCGAGUAGGACGGAUUUUAGGCCACCAUACAUAUUGAAGACUAUAUGGGUGGAAUACAUUCAGCAUGUGAUGUCCGCGCGUAUCAUGCAACAGUCACAGUUCAGUGCUGGGAACUGGAGCUGAAAAAUUCAUGGUUAUGUUAUCACACACAUCGGCGGCUCCGUUUCGAUCAUUUUCACAUGAAAAGAGGAUAGUAAGAUUUUUUUUAAUUGCAUCCAUUUUUUAAUUGAUUGUUUCUUAUAAAUAUAUUUAACUGGCAACAUUUUUAUUUUGUAGGCUACAGUUCUUGGACAUGAGCCAAGUCCAAUUGAGCUUUUUGUGGAAACACACGUGUGAAGUGAUGACUGCCAAAAAGAAAUGCAACAAUUCGUAGAUAGCCAAGCUCAACAUUUUGUAGUAUAUUUGUUUUCAACCCUUUUUUAAAAAAAUUAUUAUUUACUUGAAUUUGAUGAAUUUGUUUUUUAUUUUCAGGAGACAUAUAACAGCCGGUUAAAAGAGAGAUACAUGGACGAUUCUUCUACCCAUCCAGAUAUCGAUCUAGAUUUAUAGUUGAAGGUAAGAUCAUUUGGUGCCCUUGAUAGAAAUUGGGUAUGUAGACUCUUUAACACUAUGACCAAGAACUUGCAGGCGAACUAUACUGUGUCAACCGUUAGAUGCUCACAAUCGGUCCCGAACACUUAAUCUCUAGAGUUCACAACCUUGUUAGAUCAAGGAGUACAUGAACAUACGAUCCAUUUCCAUGAAAAUAUGAACGAAUCUCUAUGGAUUAUGAAAAACUCUGUAGAUUGGUAAUGAAGAUAAGAUCACAUAUAGGUGAUACAUGUGCACCUUAUUAUUGUCCCCAUGGUCUCGACGACAACUAGCAUUCUCCUCCUCCACCUCAAGCACCAUCUCUAAUCUAAUUUUAUUAUAUUUGAACAUAUAAAUGUUUAAAUUUGUAAUAAAUAUUUGAUUUUUAUAUUAAAAUAAUCUAUUUUUAAAUAUUUCAAUUUUAUAUUAAUUUAAUUUUUUAGCUAUUUUGUAUUUUAGUUUAGUAGAUUUUUUAAAAAAUAUUUUUAAAUUAUUAUUGAUGGGGUUGCUAAUAGACUUAUUUCGUCGGUAUAUUCCAGAGAGUUGGAAAAAAAUUACAGCAAAUGUCAAUGCUACUAUUAACUUACCAACGAAAUCAGUAUGUCAGUAUAUUCUAGAGAGUUGAAAAAACAUUACUGCAAAUGUCACUGUAACUUUUAACUCACUAAUGGAAUAAGCUCGUUAAUAUAUUUUAGAGAGUUGGAAAAGAGUUACAGUAAAUGGCACUGCAACUAUUAACUCAAUAAUGAAAUUACAUAUAAUUCUCAUGUUGGUGAUAUGUUAAAUUGUACCGAGAGAAUGAUUGGUGUAAUGAAACGGAUAAUUUUUUUUUCACGCACAUAUUCCAUCUAUAAAAUCAUCAAUGAACUUAUUGAAAGAUAAAAAAUUACAUAUAAAUAUUUUUCUAACAUAUAUUUUUUAUUCAUGACUGUGUUGAUAAAAUAAUUACAGACGAAUUGUUGGUCUAAAUACUGUGAAAUAUUCUUGUGGUGAGAAGCAUGAAAUGAUUCAUCAGUGUUAAUGUCAACCUCUGAGUAGAACAAGCUGUUAAAUGGAGACAGAUUGACCAACUCUUUGUAUCUACUAUGCUCAAUAAAAUCCUACAAACAAAAUAAAAAACAAUUUGUUUGGGGAUUUUAUCUAAUUUGGUGGGCUUGCCUUAUUUUGUUAAUUAAAAGGUAAUAGAUACAUUAAAAAAAACAACACAAAUUAAAACCUGCUUAUAAUUUAGAAAAAAACCACCUGUCUUUCAUUUUUAACAACAUAGAAAUUGCACCACCACUGUCGCAGUGUAUUUUAAAAAGGAGAGGCCACUUUGUUCACGAAUGUAGCCACCCUUCUCAACUCCUCUCCCAGAAACAGCCCCUCCCUUCUCGCCACCUCCCUGUUCCCAAAUCUACCAACCUUCUCCACCUCUCAAGUCCUCUAUAAAAAGACAGCUCCUCCUUUCUGGCUUCCCUCAUUCUCGGAUCUAGCCAUCCUUUCCAUCCCCCUCUCGAAAAAGGCUUCUCUCUUUCGCUACCCCUUGUUUCUUAUGUUAAAAAAAUUUGUAACUGAUAUUAUUAUCCGAAGCAACGUUGCAUCAAAAACUAGGUAAUUUGUUAAGUAAUUUGUUAGAGAAAUGCCGCUUGCCUUCCUUGAGCAUCUUAUUGCCAGAAUCUCAAGCAUUUUUAUGAACAUGGAUUCACCUUCUUACGUCUGCCUGUGAAUUGUAAUGCGGGAAGGAAAAACGUUAAGUCUAAUAAUCAAAUACAUUUAGCAGUGAAUUAAUAGCAAAGUAUAGAUAUAGAGGGCCAUCUGGAUAUGCAGGAUGCCAUGAAGAUGAAGGAAUGUUGUACUCUCAUAAACUGAGACAGAAGAUCUUUAAACAAGUACGAAAAUGAAGUAAAAUUUCACUAAUUAAGGCAACAUCUGCCUGCAAACAUCGAUCACGAGAGAGCUACAGAGAGAGCUCUCUUCUUUAUACAAAAGGAAAUGGCAGAAACAAAACAACAGAUGAACAUUGCAUUCAAUUUCUAAAUUGCUAUAGACAAUUAUUGGACUGAUCCAUUCAGCUACUUCAUUUGUUCAUUCCAGUUGCAUUCUUCACUCCUUCAACAGCUGCCUGUGCCGUAGACAUCACCUGUUCACCAGCCUACACCAAGAACAAGUAUCAUAAUUAAAUUACACAUCUGUUCGUUAUUUUCUUGAGCACAAGCUACUGUAGUGGUGAGGAUGAAUUCUCUGGGGAAAAAACACAGAAAAUGAGAUUGAAGGAAAGUAUUUGAAUACCCCUUGCACUGAUUCCUUUGCAUAUUGAGCAGCAUUACCAGCUUUGUCCAUCAUGGUAGGACUGGUCUUCUCCUGAAACAAACAAAAUCCAUGCCUUAUCAUGUAUUGGAAGAGAAAUAUCAUUGUGUUCUUGAGCACAAGCUACUGUAGAGGUGACGAUGAAUUCUCUAAAAAAAAAACAUAGAAAUGAGAUUGAAGGAGAGUAUUUGAAUACCCCUUGCACUGAUUCCUUUGCAGAUUGAGCAGCAUUACCAGCUUUGUCCAUCAAGGUACUGGCCUUCUCCUGAAACGAACAAAAUCCAUGCCUUCUCAUGUAUUAGAGCAGAAAAAUCAAGCAGAUUCAUGAAUUAAAAGGAAGAAAUAAACAAAUUUCACAGGCUGACCUGAACUUGGCCCUUGGCCUCACCAGCUUUGAAGCUCAUCUUCUGGGUAUUGUCAGCCAUCUUUGGUUUCUGAUUUCUUUAAAAGAUUUGGAAGAACUCAAAUAAAUUCUCAGAUUCUUGAAAAAACAAAACUCUUGGUAGUAAAGGAAUGCCAUGGCAGCCAUAAUUUAUACUGAUUAAAACCAGUCCAUUGCUGGACACGUGCAAUGCCACGUGUCAAGCUAUAGAUUGCUUGGAAUAUCAUCUGUUAUUGAGGUUGAGAUUUUGGGGGCCUUUGACCAGGUGGGUUGUGAAUUUUGUGAAUAAUUCAUGUGCUAACUUUCUUUGUUUGUUUGACAAAAUAAACAAAUAAUUCAAUUAAAAAAUUAAAGAAUCCAAAAUCUGGAACCCAACUCUUAAUAGAAACCAACAUUUUCAUACAUGUAAGUGUUGUCCAAAUUUUAUAAGACAAUUGAGAAAAAAAAGAUUUAGUUUAUGUGACUAAUAUGAAAAAACUUCUUGAAUAUUUAAUUAGCAUAAACUUGAUUUUUUUUAGAUUUGUUUAUUAAAUAUUUUUAAUAUUUUUUAAUUAUAUACAAAUUACCGAGAUUUUAUUUGAAUGUUCCAUUUAAAAUUUGUUUUCAAAAUUAUAAUGGAUUUUUAUUUAGAAAAUAAUGCUUGUAAUUUAUAAAAUAUCCUAAUAAUAGAUUAAUUAUUGAUUUUAUGAUUAUUUUUUAUUAUAUUAUUAAAUAAAAUAUAAUUUUAAAAAAUAUAAAAUCAGUUAAAAAUUUUUAAGUUUGAUUUACUUGAUAAAAUUUAAUAAUAAUUUUAAAAAAAUUCUCAAAUACUUUUUUUUAUUUAAUUUGAUGUAGCAUAAAAGUUAUGUUUAUUGGAAGUUCUAGUCAUUGGUAGGUUUGACUGAGUCUUUAGGAAUUUGUUAUUUGAUUUAGCGGCUGAGAAAGUGUCUUCUUCAUGAUAUUAUUUAGAGGAAUUGUGGUGAGUGCGUUCUAAUGUAAAGUCUAUUAAUAGGUCUUUUUUUUUUUCAUUGUCAAGAACAUAGCUUUCUCUUUCAACAAGUCUCUUUUGUUAUUUUUCUUUAUUUAGUAAUAGUGGUAGCAUAGCCGGGUUAGUGAGAUAAAAGCAAAAGAGAAAAAGUUCUCAAAUAGUGAGUCUCCAAAAUAGUUCAAAUAGCAGUAGCUCUUUUUUCCUCAUAUUUAUAUCUUGCAGAAAACGAGGUACUUAAAUUCCAAUUUUGUGCAAGCAGUAAUCCCACAUUUUAAUGUUCAUUAUAACCAUUGGAGUAUGUUAAUUGGGAACUUUCUUCGAUCAAAAAAAUAUUGGUCGAUUAUUGAAUCUGGAAUUGAAGAAUUAGCAACAACUGCAGUCUUGAUAGAUGCCCAGAAAACAUAGUUGGAAAAGAGAAAACUUAAAUAUUUGAAGGCAAAAAAUUAGAGAAAGCUUAAAUAUUUGAAGGCAAAAAAUUAUCUUUGUCAUGCAAUUGAUUGUCCCAUCUUGGAAAUAAUUCUUAGCAAAGAAACUAGGAUAUGUGAGAUUCCAUGAAAAAAAAAAAAUCAAGGUUCUACUAGAGUAAAGCAUGUACAGCUUCAAGUCUUGAGACGAGACCCUACAUAUGAAGGUUGGAGAAUAUGUCACCAACUAUUGUGCCAUAAUUAUGGAGAUAAACAACAAAAUGCGAUUUUCAUGGUGAGAAGAUGGAUGAUGGUGUUAUUGUUGAAAAGAUAUUGCAUUCUUUAACAAUAAAAUAUGAUUAUGUUGUAUGUUUGAUUGAAGAAUCAAAAGACAUAAAUACACUCUUUCUUGAUGAACUGUAAAGCUCUUUUUAGUCAAUGAACAAAAGAUGAAUUGAAGUUCAAAUACAAACGAGCAAGCUUCAAAGGCUUUUACCUUUACUCAGUUCUCAAAUUUUAGAGGAAGAGGUAAAGGUAAAGAAAAGGGAGGUAGAGGUAAUAAAGAUGGCAACAUACAAUACUUUAAGGCUGGUGAUGAUCAAUAUCAAGGCAGAGACAGAGGACAGGUUCAACACUUUAACAAAUCUAAGGUAGAGUGUUUCAAAUGUCAUAAAUUUGAACAUUAUCAUUCUAAGUGUUAUGCUAGGCUACCUAAUGACAAAGCAAAGGAGAGCAAUUGUAUUUUGCUGAAAAACAAAUCCAUCUUCUAAUGGAGGUAAAAGAUAUUUAAUUACCUUCAUUGAUGCUUUUCCUCGAAAAACUUGGGUUUAUUUUUUACAGCAAAAAUCAAAAGCUCUAUGUGUAUUUUAAAGCUUUAAGGCUCAUGUGGAGAAUGAAACAUGAGAGAUUGUUAAGACCCUUCGAACAAUUAUGGUGGAGAAUAUUGCUCAACCGAAUUUGAAGUUUUUUGUAUGGAUCAUGGCAUUCAAAGGGAACUCACAGCUACUUAUACACCACAAUAAAAUGGUGUAUCAGAGCAAAAAAAAAAAAGUCUAUUGUAGUAGCUCGAUCUCUUCCUCGUAUUCGAAAAAGGCCUGCAUAGAGGGAAGACUAUAAGGUAACUCGAAUUGAAGAUCCAAUCACUCACUUUGCUUUAUUUUCAGAUUGUAAUCCUACAACCUUUGAAAAUGCUGUCAAAAAAGCAAAAUGGAGGAAGGCGAUGGAUGAUGAAAUUGAUGCCAUUGAAAGAAAUGACAAUUGGGAGCUGACUGAUAUUUCGAAAGCACAUAAAACCAUUAGUUUAAAGUGGGUUUUCAAAACAAAACUAAAAUAACAUGGUAAAGUUGAUAAAUAUAAGGCACGUUUGAUAGCUAAGGGAUAUAAACAAGAAUAUAGGAUCGAUUAUAUAGAAGUUUUUGCUCCCGUUGGAAGACAUGAUACAAUCAGAUUGGCGGCGUAGAACUUGUGGCCUAUUUUCCAAUUGGAUGUCAAAUCAACAUUCUUGCAUUAAAACUUGAAAGAACAAGUAUUUGUAGAACAACCUUUUGGUCAUAUUAAGAUCAUAAAUGAGCAUAAAGUUUAUAGAAUAAAUAAAGCUCUUUAUGGAUUAAAACAAGCUUCACGAGCUUGGUAUAAUCACAUUGAUACUUAUUUUUUGAAAGAAGGCUUUCACAAAUGUCCAUAUGAGCACGUACUAUUUGUUAAAAUUGAAGAUAAGGAGAAAUUGCUCAUUGUUUACUUAUAUAUAGAUGAUCUUAUAUUUACUAGAAAUGAUGUUGUUAUGUUUAAGGAAUUCAAGAAAUAUAUGAUGAUUGAAUUUGAAAUGUUUGACCUUGGUAUGAUGCAUUAUUUUCUUGGUAUAGAAGUAGUGCAAUCCGCUAAUGGGAUAUUUAUUUCUCAAAAUAAGUACGUGUAAGAUAUUUUGGACAAGUUUCAAAUAAGGGAUUGCAAUUCUAUUAGCACUCCAACUAAAUUUGGCUUGACGUUAAACAAAGAUCAUGAAAGGAAAGAAGGUGGAUAACACAUUUUACAAAGCAAAUUGUUGGCAGUUUGAUGUAUUUAACUACAACAAGACCAGACAUAAUGUAUUUUGUGAGCUUAAUUAGUAAGUAUGUGGAGAAUCCAACAGAAAUGCAUUUGUUUGGAGCCAAGAGGAUCCCUCGUUACUUGCAAGGAACUAAAGAUUUUGGGUUGUUCUACAAGAAGGGCGAAAAGUAGUUGUUUAGGUUCUUUAACAAUGAUUAUUCAUGAGAUCAAACUGAUAAAAAAGCACUUCGGGUUAUGUGAGUUAUUUUUAUGUUGGGCACAGGUGUUGUUUCAUGGUCUUUAAGAAGCAACAAAUUGUCAUCUUAUUAACAAAUUGUCUGAAUUUAUUGUUGCCAUAGCUUGUGCUUGUCAAGCUAUCUAGUUAACAAGAAUUCUUGAAGAACUACAAUUCUAGCAAAUUAAGGUUACUAGUUUUUUAUGAUAACAACUCAGUGAUUAAACCUUCAAGAAUCUAGUAAACGGAAGACAACCAUAUCAAUGUUAAAUAUUAUUAUUUUAAGAGAUCUAAGUCUGGUUUAUCAUCGAAGUGAAGACCAAAUUAUAGAUAUACAGGCCAAGUCUCUCAAAUUUGCUAUAUUUGUUAAAUUACAUAAUCUACUUGGAGUUUGUUCAUGUUCUAAAGUGAACGAGAAUUUUACAGAGGAUUGAUUUUCCUUUUAAACUGAUAUAUGUAGAUUUCAGUUUAAUAAAGAGUGUUAAGAGUUAAGUGUUUUAUUUAAUGUUUAUUGAAAGUUCUAGUCUUUGGUACGUUUGACAAAGUCUUUAGAAAUUUAUUAUUUAAUUUAGUUGCUGAAAUGUACGAUGCUAUUUUAUUAUGAUGAAUGCGUUCUGAUAUAAAACCUAUUUAUAAUUUAUUUAUUUUAUUCUCAAGAAUAGAGUUCUUUUUUAACACGUCUCUUUUUUUAUUUUUACGUACUAGGUCCCACUAAACACAGUGUGUCGGAAUGAUUAUUACGGAGGUGACUGGAGUUGUCAGAAACCUGAUAAAGGCUAAGGACUGUCCGUUGUUCAUUGAUGACAAAGGUACGGAUGUGAGCUAUUAUUGGCCACAUAUCUACUUCAUUAUUAUUAUUAUUAUUAUUAUUAUUUAACUUUUGACUAGAUUACAAAUAUAUAUUAUACGUUUUCCUAUUUUUCUUUGGAAGUCAUACAAACUUGUAUAUUUUAUUUAUCUUUUUCUCACAACAAAAAUUAGUUAUAUUAUAUUUUCUAUUAUAAAAAAACAAAGAAAACAUUUACAAAAAAAGUACCAUAUUAAUAUUAAAACAUAAAAAAGGAAAGAUUCCUUGAUAGAAAAACAAACCAUGAAAAAAUAAUAUUAAUUAAUAUUUUUUUAGACUUUAAUCUUUGUUCUGUAAACUCACAACAUAUUUUUUAUGUAACAAAAUUAAUAUGUGGAACUUAUUUUGUCUUCUUUCAAGCACGUCCAUCCUAUUAGGAAAAUCUAAUUUUUUUUCCGACACAUUAAAAUUAUAAUUUCGUUAAAAUAAUAUAGUUCACAUCAAAAUUGAUUUAAUUUGGUGAUUAGAAAAUAAAAAUAUGUAUGAAAAAAAUUUAAUAAUAUAAAGAUAUAAUUAUCCGAAGCAGCAACUUCUCAUAAAAGACUAGUUUGUUAAGAAAUUUCUCAGAGAAAGCAUCUUAAGGCCAGAAUCUUAAGCAUUUUUUAUGAACAUGGAUUCAUCACCUUCUGAUGUUUGCCUGUGAAUUUGUAAAAGCAUGAGUGGAGUGUUUUAUUAUUUUUUAAUAAGUUUGAUAUUUUUUUUCUAGAAAUAUGUAAAAUUAUCAUUUAUAAAAGAGAAAAUAUUAUUUUAAUAUUUGUUUAGCACUUUAAUAUGCAAAAUAAAUAUAAAAAAUUUAAAAUAAUAUUUUUUAAUAUUUAGCUUUUCAUUUAAGACACCCAUGGGAGAUGCUCUAAUGUGUGAAGGCAAACGUUAGCUCUAAUCAAAUAAAUUUAGCAGUGAAUUAAGAGCAAAGUACAUACACAUAUAUAUAUAUAUACACACACACACACAUAAAUAUAUAUAUAUAUAUAUAUAUAUAUAUAGGGCCAUCUGCACAUGAAGAUGAAGCAAUGUUGGGAUCUCAUAAACCGAGGCAGAAGAUCUUUAAACAAGUACGAAACUGAAAGUAAAUUUCAGUAAUUAGGGCAAUAUCUGCCUGCAAACAUCACGAGAGAGCUACAGAGAGAGAUCUCUUCUUUAAUCAAAAGGAAAUGACAGAAACACAACAAUAGAUGAACAUUGCAUUCAAUUUCUAAAUUGCUCCAUUCAGCUAAUUCAUUUGUUCAUGCCAGUUGCCUUCUUAAUUCCGUCCACAGUUCCCUGUGCCGUAGACAUCACCUGUUGACCAGCCUACACCAAGAGCAAGUAUCAUAAUUAAAUUACACAUCUGUUCGUUAUAUUCUUGAGCACAAGCUACUGUAGCGGUGAGGAUGAAUUCUCUAGGAAAAAAAACACAGCAAAUGAGAUUGAAGGAAAGUAUUUGAAUACCCCUUGCACUGAUUCCUUUGCAUAUUGAGCAGCAUUACCAGCUUUCUCCAUCAUGGUAGGACUGGUCUUCUCCUGAAACAAACAAAAUCCAUGCCUUAUCAUGUAUUGGAAGAGAAAUAUCGUUGUGUUCUUAAGCACAAGCUACUGUAGAGGUGAGGAUGAAUUCUCUUAAAAAAAAACAUAGACAUGAGAUUGAAGGAGAGUAUUUGAAUACCCCUAGCACUGAUUCCUUUGCAGAUUGAGCAGCAUUACCAGCUUUUUCCACCAAGGUACUGGCUUUCUCCUGAAACAAACAAAAUCCAUGCCUUCAUGUAUUAGAAGAGCAAGAUCAAGCAGAUUCAUAAAUAAAAAGGAAGAAAUAAACAAAAUUCAAAGGCUGACCUCAGCUCGGCCCUUGGCCUCGCCAGCUUGGAAGCUCAUCUUCUGGGUAUUGUCAGUCAUCUUUGGUUUCUGAUUUCUUGUGAGAGAUUUGGAAGAAUUCAAAUAAAUCGAAAGCUCAAAUGCUUGAAAAAUGAAAACUCUUGGUAGUAAAGGAAUGCCAUAGCAGCCAUGAUUUAUACUGGUUUAAACCAGUCCGUCGCUGGACAUGUACUAUUCCACGUGUCAAGCUACGAUUGCUCGGAAUAAUAUCUGUUUUGAGGUUGAGAUUAUGGGGGCCUUUCACCAGGGGGGUUGUGAAUAAUUAAUGUGCUAAUUUUCUUUGUUUGUUAAAAAAAUAAUAAAAAGUUCUUUCGGUUAUUUCUUAACAGAUUCAAUUAAGAAAGGAUCAUGAUUGAGGGAUCCAAAAUCUUGAGCCCAAGACACCAAAGUUACAUACAUACAAUAUUGUCCAAAUCUUAUGACAUGAUUGAGAAAAAACAUAUUAUAUACAUACAAUAUUGUCCAAAUCUUAUGACAUGAUUGAGAAAAAGCAUGAUUAGUAAUUUAAAUAUUACAUCUUGUAAUCAUGAUAAAAAAAAAAUUAUAUAUAUAGAUUCUAGCAUGCAUGUUCAAAUUGAAUAUAUAUUAAACUUAUAAUUGAUAUCUAAAUAAAAUUCUAGUAUGUAUAGUAAUCAUAUAAUAUAUCUUUAUAAAAACCAAACUUAAGCUCUAAAGUAUAGAAAAAAAAAGUCAAAAAACGAGUCUUUUUAUGAUCUUUGUUUGUUUGCCAAAAUGUUUUUUUUUUUUUUUAACACAUUCAUAGGUUGUUAACCACUUUUAUGUGGUAUAAUUAAACUAAUAAUUUUUAUAAAUUUUUUUAUUUGUAACAUAAACAUAUAAAAAUUAUAAAAUAAACAAAAAAAUAUUAAUAUUUUUUCAAGUCUUUUAAAAAUGGAUAAAAAACCGUUGUUCCAAACUCGACACCAAACACACACAGACACUUGCUCUAAAAUGUAAAUCCCAAUUAGGUUACAAAGAAAGCUUGGUUUGAUCAUCUUAGGUGUGAAAUCUAUUGAAGAUCAAUCCAGAAUUUUCUCACCGCCUACCAUCUUCGGAUCAUGUAGAAAUAUCUAUCCAUAACUCCAGCAGAAAAUAUCUUAGCUACAUGUGGCUGGUGUUGUGUUUAGUAUUACGUUUUAGAAGUAUUUAAAAAAAUAAUAAAAUAUUUUUUAUUUUAAAUUAAUAUUUUUCAGAUUAUUUUUUAUAUACUGAUAUUAAAAUAAUUUUUUAAAAAUAAAAUAAAAAUUAUUUUAAUAUAUUUUAAAAUAAAAAACAUUUUAAAAAAACUACCAUACACCCAAAGACACGUGACAUAUGAUGUAUGCUGGAAAUUUCUCCUACCGACAUAGCAUAGCCACGUGUGGGUGUGUGUGUGGUUCCUUCAUUUUGUGUGGUGGGCAACGAGUGAGAAGAUAGAUGAAUAAGUGAAAGAGUGUCAGAAAAAAGAGAGAUAAUAAUGAAGAGAGUAUUCAGUGUGUGUCGCGUGAGCUUUUGGAAACGCGUUAUCUCGCUUUUUCAAAAAACUUUUAAAUUCUUUUUAUUAAAAUUUAAUUUUUUAUAUAUUUUUUUAAAUAAUUUUAAUAUAUAAAUUUCAAAAAUAAUUUUUAAAAAAUAAAAAAAUAUAUUAUUUUAAUAUAAAAAAUCCUUUAAAAAAUAAUUAUAACUAAAAUGACAAUCACCCAGUUAAAAGACGUAUAAAUUAGUUAGCUUCAAAGUCGUUGCUCAAAAUUCAUGUUCAACAAAGUCUUUUUAUUUUUAUAACAAAAAUUUUCAAAACAUUUAUCGAAAAAGCAAUGUAAAAAAUAAAAAACAUUAAUGGUUAUGGAUAAAGAAAAAAACCAAUGAAUAAUUAAUAUAAAACUUCAUUUUUUUUAAGAUUUGUUUUAUCACUUUCUUUCAAUAUUUUUUUAAUUAUAUAUAAAAUACCGAGAUUUUGAGAUUUUGUUUGAAUGUUAGAAUUAAGAUUUGCUUUUAAGGCCUGGAAAAUAUUGAUUGCAAUUUAUAAAAUAUUCUGAUAUUAGGUUAAUAAAUGAUUUUACAAUUGUUUUUUAUUGUAUUAUUAAAUAAAAUAUAAUUUUAAAAAAUAUAAAUUCUAGUUAAAAGAGUUUUUAAAUUUAAUUUACUGGAUCGGAUUUAAUAAUAAUCUAAAAAAACAUAAGUUUAAUUUUGAAAAUUUUAUUUCAAAGUAUUUUUUUUUCUUUAUUAUAAUUCCUACACUACCCUAAAAGCUCAUUUAAAAACUUAGGCUGCCUUUUCUUUCAUAGAAACAAUUUGCAGUAUAUUUGACAUCUAAUAUACUUUUCACUUAUAACUUAGGCUGCCUUUUCUUUCAUAGAAACAAUUUGCAGUAUAUUUGACAUCUAAUAUACUUUUUCACUUAUAAGAUAGUUUUUAGCUUUUAAUGUAAAAUGAGAUAUAUUAAUUAGGUGUUUGUAUUUUUCCUCUUUUUGUUUACUUCAGCUAAUUUUGUUUCUUCAUAAUAAUAGCAAUGGAUUAAGAUUAAUUAAGAGUGAUGAUCUAAGUGGAGCAAUGUUAUGGAAUUCUAAGCUGCUCUUGAACUCACACUUCAGGGACUUUAGACUUAGUCAGAUUCAUAAACACCAAAUAUUCAAGGAGUGAAUUAAUAGCAAAGUAUAGAUAUAUAGGGCCAUCUGGACAUGCAGGAUGCCAUGAAGAUGAAGGAAUGUUGUGCUCUCAUAAACCGAGACAAAAGAUCUUUAAACAAGUACGUACGAAACUGAAGUAAAAUUUCACUAAUUAGGGCAAAAUCUGCCUGCAAACAUCGAUCACGAGAGAGCUACAGAGAGAGCUCUCUUCUUUAUACGAAAGGAAAUGGCAGAAACAAAACAAGAGAUGAACAUAGCAUUUAAUUUCUAAAUUGCUAUAGACAAUUAUUGGACUGCUCCAUUCAGCUACUUCAUUUGUUCAUGCCAGUUGCAUUCUUCACUCCUUCAACAGCUGCCUGUGCCGUAGACAUCACCUGUUGACCAGCCUAAACCAAGAACAGGUAUCAUAAGUAUAUUAUACAUUUGUCCAUUGUAUUCUUGAGCACAAGCUACUGUAGUGGUGAGGAUGAAUUCUCUCAAAAAUAAAACACAGAAAAUGAGAUUGAAGGAAAGUAUUUGAAUACCCCUUGCACUGAUUCCUUUGCAUAUUGAGCAGCAUUACCAGCUUUGUCCAUCAUGGUAGGACUGGUCUUCUCCUGAAACAAACAAAAUCCAUGCCUUAUCACGUAUUGGAAGAGAAAUAUCAUUGUGUUCUUGAGCACAAGCAAGUGUAGAGGUGAGGAUGAAUUCUCUUAAAAAAAACAUAUAUAGACAUGAGAUUGAAGGAGAGUAUUGAAUACCCCUGUCACUGAUUGCUUUGCAGAUUGAGCAGCAUUACCAGCUUUGUCCACCAAGUUACUGGCCUUCUCCUGAAACAAACAAAAUCCAUGCCUUCAUGUAUUAGAAGAGCAAAAUCAAGCAGAUUCAUAAAUAAAAAGGAAGAAAUAAACAAAUUCACAGGCUGACCUGAG